rnacentral:rRNA from 1 species
AUGUGGAAGCUAUGUGUUCCAAAAAAUAUUGGUGGGAUGGGAUUUCGUGAUCUGCAUAGUUUCAAUCUAGCGAUGCUUGCAAAACAAGUUUGGCGACUUAUCGAAUACCCAGAUUCUAUUUGUGCCCAGAUUUUGAAAGCAAAGUACUACCCCCAUUGUGAGAUUCUCAAAGGAGGACCAAAGAAUGGGUGCUCCUUCACGUGGCAAGGCCUUGUUGCCGGCAUCCAAACAUUCAAACGAGGCUACAUUUGGCGAAUUGGAAAUGGUGAGAGUGUUAAUAUUUGGAUGGGCCCUUGGGCCCCAUCUCGUCCUAGCAGGAUGGUUAUCGCUCGACGAGGUCAUCAACUAUUAACAAAUGUUAGUGAACUCAGUAACCCCAUUAAUGGCGGAUGGGAUGAGAAGUUGGUUACUGCUAUGUUUGGUUUCAUUGAUGCACGUAGGAUUAUGCAAAUCCCACUAAAUAUAGGUGCCUUUGAUGAUUUCAUCGCAUGGAAUUCAACACAGAAUGGAAUCUUCUCCCUCCGCAUGGCCUACCAUUUAGAAUAG